UGGGGAAUAUUGCACAAUGGGCGAAAGCCUGAAGCAGCGACGCCGCGUGAGGGAUGACGGCCUUCGGGUUGUAAACCUCUUUCAGCAGGGACGAAGCGCAAGUGACGGUACCUGCAGAAGAAGCACCGGCUAACUACGUGCCAGCAGCCGCGGUAAUACGUAGGGUGCAAGCGUUGUCCGGAAUUACUGGGCGUAAAGAGUUCGUAGGCGGUUUGUCGCGUCGUUUGUGAAAACCAGCAGCUCAACUGCUGGCUUGCAGGCGAUACGGGCAGACUUGAGUACUGCAGGGGAGACUGGAAUUCCUGGUGUAGCGGUGAAAUGCGCAGAUAUCAGGAGGAACACCGGUGGCGAAGGCGGGUCUCUGGGCAGUAACUGACGCUGAGGAACGAAAGCGUGGGUAGCGAACAGG
rnacentral:rRNA from 1 species